rnacentral:rRNA from 1 species
GUCCACGCUGUAAACGAUGGAUACUAGGUGUAGGAGGUCAUUUACCCCUUCUGUGCCGAAGCUAACGCGUUAAGUAUCUCGCCUGGGGACUACGGCCGCAAGGUUAAAACUCAAAGGAAUUGACGGGGGCCCGCACAAGCAGCGGAGCGUGUGGUUUAAUUCGAUGAUACGCGAAGAACCUUACCUGGGUUUGACAUAUACGUAGUAGGGAAGUGAAAGCGGACCGACCCUUCGGGGAGCGUAAACAGGUGCUGCAUGGCUGUCGU